UACAUCACCACUACAAAUACUAUGAAUUUGAUUAUAUUGCUGCACUAGUGGAUGUCCACAGUCUAAUACCAACCCCACCCUUGGCUUUCCAGAGAUGGUUAUACUAGUUUCCUGGGACCACGGUUGGGGAACAACACAUUUUUCAAUAUGAAGGAGACAUGAUGAGUCUCAUGGAUGUUCCCCGGGACCACGAUGUGACUUGAGGGCUGCCAUAAGGAGAAAAUGUUUUUUGUUUUGUUAUUUUGGACCAACUUUACUUGUGCUAAAUAAACUGAAGUUCCUUAUAGUACUAUAAAAUCAACAAAUUGUACUUCUAUGUGCUAAAAUGACCCCACUUAAAGUAUACUAGGUGUAGUUGUAAGACAUUAUUAGAGAUGUCUUAUAUACACUUACAACGUAGAGACAUGGAGAGCUACUUGCAAAUAGUAUGAAAUACAGAAGUGUCACUAGAUUAUCCCAUGUGCACUUCAGCUUUGGUGUACUCUUUCAGUACUUCAAUACAGACUUUCAUCA